CGCCCACCGCCUCAGCAACCAACCUCCAGGGAGGGGAAAGGGGGCAGAAGUUUGAGUUAAUAACUAAUAGCUAAAGAUGUAAACAAUAAGCCUCCAUAAAACCCCAAAAGGACUGGACUGGUUUCUGAGAGCUUCCAGGUUGUUGAGCACGUGGAGGUUCUGGGAGGGUCCACACCCAGAGAAGGCAUGGAAGCUGACCCCUUCCCCAUACCUUGCUCUUUGCAUCUCUUCCAUUUGGCUGUUCCCGAGUUGUAUACUUUGUAAUAAGUGGGAUUUCCACCCAACAACAAUUCAGCCACACUGCUUCACACAUCUAGAAUCCAUCCAAAAUUGUAAAGGCUUUGUGGCACUACAGUGAAACAGGCAAGAACAUCUUCCAAACAUCCAGCACAAGAGCACACAGGAGGCCGGCAUAAUCACGAAUUGCAGCUGUCUGAAGGGCAGUCACAUAAAAGAGGAGAAGCUUCACCUUUGCUUCACAAGGCACAUCUUGAACCAGGGAUGGAAAUUACAGAGAGGCCAAAACCAGCUCGGUGUGAGCAGGACUGGUAACAGACUGGCCAAGCAACAGAAGGGGCUGCCCUGUGAAGAAGCAAGCUCUCUGUCAAUGGGAGGUGCAAGCUGAGCCUGCACUACCUUUUGUCACGGUUGCUAUGGAAAAGAUUAAGAGCCCGGGCUGCUUGAGUGUCUGCAUGACAUGGCAGCUGGCUCCCUGAAGAGCACGUGAUCCGAAAGAGAGAGCAAGACAGAAGCGCAGUGUCUUCAACAGCAUAUCUUUGAAAGUCAUAUUCCACCGUUUUCACUACAUUCUAUUGAUAAGAUAGCCCUUCCUCCUCUGGGGGCCUGGGCAUCAGCAAGUCGGAUGGCAGUGGAAGGUGGAGAAAUGGAAUCCUGCUGGGGGCUCAGGAGGCCUGCCCCCUGAUGCUGCCGUGCACUGCAGAUGUCCUUGAUGAAGAGAAUGAAUGGAAGUGCCAGAAAGCCUUUAACAUAUUGGGUCCGGUCUAGAUUUGUAAGGAAGUAUGGCUGAAUUGUUAUCGGGUGGAUACAGUUUACAUGUUUAAAGCUGUCUUUCUCAAUGGCAAAAGGGCAUACUGCUGUUAUUGUCAGUGAGGGGUCAGUAGUUUAAAUGAUGAAACUCUGGGGAUCAGCGUAAAGUAAACCAACAUACUGCAUGUAAGUAUCAAGUAAAUGAGCAGAGACAGCCCCUGGUUUACAAACACCUGACUUAAGCAUCGUCCAUCCUACAGGACAGGGAAGGAGGAAGAAGCUUCGAGAGGCUGGAACAGUUGAGGGAGCGCUGACACGGUAAAGGCCACUUUGCUCAUCAUCACCAGGCGUGCUGCCGAAAAUUUCCACUCUGUUUACUCCCAAGACCUUACUCCUACUAUGUGGAGACACAUUUGAAUAAAAAAUUGGCCUCUUUUCAAAGUCAAAA
rnacentral:lncRNA from 1 species